AACAAAUAUCCAAGCUUCCUUAUAAUGUUAAUUAAGAAAUCAUCUCAUCUGAAACAACAGACAAGUUAUGAUUUUAGUUUACAGAUGAACAAACAUUUCUAAAGAAUUUGUUUUAACUUAAAGCUUUUUUAAUUACAAGUUUUCUAAUGUAAUAAAUGUGUUUUUAACUUCAAAAUGUACAGUAAUCACAAAUUAAUCUUGAGGUAAAAAACAACAUUUGUAAGUAUUUUCUACAGAAAACUGCUGUGUAUAAAUUAACAGUUCUGUGACACAUUUCUCCACUCUGUCCUCUUCCAUGCUUUGACCUGAUGCCUCGUUUCUCAUGGAUGCAUGAAGCUGCAUCCC